GAUCUGGUCGCAGAGCAGGGAAAGCUGUAAUCUUAACUCCAGAGUGCUUCUAUCUCAGCAGCAUCACUGGAACAGCUCUGUUAUCCUCUAGCGCCAGCCCAGCCAGCAAUAGAAAGGGUCCUUGUGUGUACCAGUGCCACGGUAUUCAUUGCAUGGAGAGCUGCAAGGGGUGUGUGUGUGUAUAAAUGGGGCAAGGAUUCUUGAACCAGCCAUUGGACUACUGAGGAUUCUGUGCCAGGUGUGUGCCGGUGCCCCCCUCCUCCGAUGCUGGAGUGACAUAGCGCAUGGGGUCAGAUGAAGUCGUCUGAUAUUGACCAGGAAUUAUUCACUGAAAGCUAUUGCAAAGUGUGCAGUGCUCAGCUAAUAUCAGAAUCUCAGCGGGUGGCACAUUAUGAGAGUCGGAAACAUGCGAGCAAAGUGAGACUUUACUACAUGCUACAUCCCAUAGACGGAGGCUGCCCAGCCAAGAAGCUUCGAUCAGAAAACGGCAGCGAUGCCGAUGCAGUGGACAAGAACAAAUGCUGCACACUAUGUAACAUGUCCUUCACCUCAGCAGUGGUGGCCGAGUCACAUUACCAAGGCAAAAUCCAUGCCAAAAGGUUAAAACUGUUGCUAGGUGAACAGCCAGCACUAAAGGCCACAGAAACCACUCUGAGUUCACUAAAGCAGCCACAUGCGGAUAGUUCUCCUGUGGUAUCUUCACCUAACCAAAGAAGAGACUCAGACAGGUACUGCCAGCUCUGUGCAGCCUGGUUUAAUAACCCCAUGAUGGCACAACAACAUUAUGAUGGCAAAAAGCACAAAAAGAACGCAGCCAGGGCUGACUUAUUAGAACAACUAGGGAAGACAUUGGAUCUAGGAGAGCUGAGAGGUUUGAAGCGUAGUUACACUUGUAACAUCUGUAAUAUCACUCUAAACUCAAUAGAACAGUAUCACGCUCAUCUGAAGGGCUCCAAACAUCAGACCAACCUGAAGAAUCAAUAGUGAUUCAAAAGAAGGAAAAACAUCAAGAUUUUUUCUGCAAAGAAGAGUCUAUUAACCAAUAGAAAGGAUGCUUUCAUGGACAAUGAACAUUUCCUGUGUGGAUUCAUUAAUUAACGUAUAACUAAAUCUUCACUUUGGACAAAUACAUGGAUUUUCUUUUUUAAUUUUGUGAUUUCUUCUGAGAAUAUAAAAUUGCUCUAUUAAAUUAUCCAUGAUUGUGAUGUAAUCAGUCUUCAACCAGAAAUAAACAUGAUUUCUUCACCUUCUUCGGCAUGAUUUGUGUCAACAUAUAAAGAAAAAAAAUGAAUCACAGGAUGGGGAAAUGUCUGGUGGAGGAAAAUAUGAUUUAACAGCAAGUAGAUCUUAGAUGAAUCUCUCUCCUGGGUGUUCAGG